ACGCUGGCGGCGUGCCUAACACAUGCAAGUCAACUUGACGGAAGAGCAAUCUGACCGUAGAGUGGCGCAAGGGUGCGUAACGCGUAAGUAACUUGCCCAAGGUAAGGAAUAACGUCGAGAAAUCGGCGCUAAUACCUCAUAAUGCAGCGGAUCCGCAUGGAUAUGUUGUUAAAGGUUUACCGCCUUGGGAUAGGCUUGCGUCUGAUUAGCUAGUUGGUGUGGUAACGGCACACCAAGGCUACGAUCAGUAACUGGUCUGAGAGGAUGAUCAGUCACACUGGAACUGAGACACGGUCCAGACUCCUACGGGAGGCAGCAGUGAGGAAUAUUGGGCAAUGCUCGAAAGAGUGACCCAGCAACGCCGCGUGGAGGAUGAAGGUAUUCUAUAUCGUAAACUCCUGUGAGAGCAGACGAAAGACAGAUUAUUAAUCUGGAUGACUGUAUGCUCAGAGGAAGCCCCGGCUAACUACGUG
rnacentral:rRNA from 1 species